ensembl:misc_RNA Metazoa_SRP Metazoan signal recognition particle RNA
GCUGGGCAUUGUGGUGCAUGCCUGUAAUCCCAGCUACUCGGGAGGCUGAGGCAGGAGAAUUGCUUGAAUCUGGGAGGUGGAGGUUGCAGUGAGCCGAGAUCAUGCCACUGCACUCCAGCCUGGAUGACAGAGCAAGAUUCCGUCUCAA